ACACGUGCUGUGACCGACUGCAAGUCUUUCGUAACGAGUAAAUGUAGCAAAAUGCACGUAAUGGCGUAAUGAUCGAUGCACGCUGUUUACUGCUUGACUUCCUGUAGAUUCUCCGUUGAAAACAGGACGUGACGUUAUUCUCUGUAACUGAUAUUACCAACCGUGUUGGAUUUGUAAUAUUUAAUAUUAUUAUUUUGAGUGAGCAGGCGGUGGUUUUUUGUUUUAUUAUGUACUUAAAAAAUACCGGAAGUCAUGUACGAUUGCUGCUUACUCGAGGAAACGGCGCGAAUUUGUUUUUCACUUUCUAAAUGAAGGCGAAAUAUAUGUAUGAACAUACGACGUAUUCCUAAGAGUUUUCAGAUCCUCUUGUAUACCGCGGUGUGUACGAACAGGGCACGCACCCCAUAUACGAGAACGUGUAUCCGGUCCAGAUUCGUGCCAGCCGUUCCUCCAGGAAUGUUAACUUAAGACGCCGACUGGUAGUAAAAGUGGGCCUGAUAAGUCCCAGCUGAUUUAUUAUGGGGUAUAUUAAAUGGCGAUUUAUUAAUUUAACUUAAUAAAUUUCUUUGGGAAAGUAUUUCAUUCAUCGAUUCGACGGCGAUUGAAUUUCAACCAACAACACGUAUCCAGAGCCGGAGAUUCUCGAUUGGGACCUGUGGUUCCUCAGUCCCACGGGGCCUCUGAUCACCGAAGCAAGACACCGCAAAAACUGUAUCGUACGACAAACCGCCACCCGGUAUACAGCAUUCACUGGGAUAUAUCCUUCGUCCUGUCUCACGCUUCUUCUCUGGGAACUUGGACUCCUGGACACACGGAGGCGCAGCAGCAACGAGGAGUCGUGUAAGAUGGCGAUUCGCAAAGUCGUUACGGUUCGCAGCAACCGUUAACAGACUGUUCCGGACAUCCACCUGCCUGGCACUCUCUUUCGUCGAGUUCAAGAAACUCUUUGUGCUAGUCAGCCGAGGCGAUUGUCGCUCCCUUGAAGACUUGAGAAUAAAGGACGUUCCCGGGCUUCGUUCAGAAUUUCCUCAAGAACGUGAGACUCGAUAACGAGUAACGGACAAGAAGUGGUGCCUCAAAGAUCUUGAAGAUCCUAGGUGUGAGAUUGUCUGAUACUUGUCAGAUGAUCAAGGGGUUGGCAUAAUUUACAAAAAAUGAAUACAUUUUUUCUAACCUGGGUUCCUGACAAGGAUAAAGGGGCUCAUUCUGGAUGCCAACUAGUCGACCAGGAUUCCAGAAGUAAAACUGACAGGAUGCCUCGCCUAGAUCCUGUCUGUAGGCCGGAGAGAAGUCCUCUCGAGCAUGAAAUCACUUCCAGCAAAGAAUAACAAGCGAAAUGCCAGAAGCGUCCGUUUGUUUCGGUCGUUCUAAGCGAAUGGUUCCAAAAGUGACUUGAAAACCGGUGCAACCGAUGCAUGAUCAUCUUCAAAGGGUUGCGUCAGGUAGCACAGGAGUGCUAUCUGAUACUAUAGGACUUGAUGAAGACAUAGUCACAUGGUACCCGGAAUAGCUAGGUAUCCUUAAAGGCACGUACGAGUAUAUUUAUAAAAUUAUUUUUCUACAGGCUCCUCCCCACCAACCGGUUCGGAGACAGCACUCGCCGCGAGUCCCAUUAUUACGUAUCUGGUCCAUUCAUUAUAUCUUAUUGUUUAAGGCCCAUUUUUAUUAGCGUAAGACCCCUACCCUUCCAUCCCAUCUCCCCAACCCCUAGGACACUGAUUCGGAGAUCUUCGAGGACCAUCCCCAAGGACCAGCCACCAACGAAAUUAGAUUCGAGAUUGAGUGGCUACGUUGACCCAGGCAGCACAAUGCGGAAAAGGCAUGUGCAGGAGGACCAGCUGACUGAGACCGCCAGGAGGAUAUCGAGGCCCAACAGCCAGCCACCCAGCCGAUUCGAACCCCUGGUGCAGUCCCUUCACACGGGUAGCUACUAGGCCUGUGUGGCAGAGUUCAUGGAGGUCGCCAUCUUACCCAGUGGUCGGAAGACAACACCAGCACGCCAGCGAAAAUCGGUGCACACCGUAUCCAGGAGAAGCAAGACCCUGGAGUCCUGCCAGUACGGUACCAAACCAAAGCAUCAGAACCUGCCAUGCCCGACCCGCGGACCAUGCCGAAGCGCGUAGCUUUCUCAGAUCUGAGAUCAGCCAAUUCCUUAGGCCCCGGAGGCCCAUCGAGGAAACCAGUGAAGACCGGAAACGGGAGAGACCCUACUUCGAGCCAAAAUGCGAAAGAGUGCGACUAGCGAAUUUCGAGUGAAAAUUUUGUGUAAGAGAAUAGCAACUUUUGAAUAUCGUUA